CUCCUACGGGAGGCAGCAGUGGGGAAUAUUGGACAAUGGGCGCAAGCCUGAUCCAGCCAUGCCGCGUGGGUGAAGAAGGCCUUCGGGUUGUAAAGCCCUUUUGUCCGGAAAGAAAAGUUCUGGGUUAAUAACCCAGGAUCAUGACGGUACCGGAAGAAUAAGCACCGGCUAACUUCGUGCCAGCAGCCGCGGUAAUACGAAGGGUGCAAGCGUUACUCGGAAUUACUGGGCGUAAAGCGUGCGUAGGUGGUGGUUUAAGUCAGAUGUGAAAGCCCUGGGCUCAACCUGGGAACUGCAUUUGAUACUGGAUCACUAGAGUGCGGUAGAGGAUAGUGGAAUUCCCGGUGUAGCAGUGAAAUGCGUAGAGAUCGGGAGGAACACCAGUGGCGAAGGCGACUAUCUGGACCAGCACUGACACUGAGGCACGAAAGCGUGGGGAGCAAACAGGAUUAGAUACCCUGGUAGUCCACGCCCUAAACGAUGCGAACUGGAUGUUGGGAGCAACUUGGCUCUCAGUAUCGAAGCUAACGCG
rnacentral:rRNA from 1 species